rnacentral:lncRNA from 1 species
CACCACCACUGUUGUUGAUGGAUCUUACUUGCUAAUGGUUGAUGAUAAGCAGAAGUUCCAAAAUAUAGAACCCAUGGACAUGAAGGCAACACGAGCUUGAAGAGGGAUCAGCCUACAAGAAUGUUGAAGCUCAGCAAACCAUUAUAAUAAUUAGCAAAGCUAAAUAAAAUAUUUCCAAGAUACAGCCUCUCUAAUGGGUCACUUCGUCUCUCUCAGUCAAUUGUCACCAAAAAGAUUCAGGAUACAGCCGCUGUAUCUGCACAAGUUUCACACUGGCCUAAGCCUUUCACGUUUGAAGUAAUAUUCUGAGUCUCACUUAGUAGUUAUAGUAGUUAGUUGUUAUAGAGCUUCAUCAUUUUGUAGAAACUAGCAGGAGAUGCUUAUAGAUCUACCCACAAUAAUAUCACGACAAAAAUUCAACACUGAGAAGUUAGCAACAGAUAUCUACAAAAUGUAAUGCAAAGUUCCAACACCAGGGUUUCAAAAAUAAUACCCAACAAGGGAUAGAAGCAUUACCAAAAGUUCAAUAUACUGACAGGAAUCCAGAACCUAAAUCCUGCAUUGAGCCAAAUAUCAAUAACAGUUUAAAACACAACAAAUCUUACUAAGACAUGUUUCCAUUCCGUACAAGCUUUUACCAGAGAAGAGUGUGGGAAGAGCAUCUCUUUGGUACUUCCCCGGCAGCUGUGAAAGCUUCCCUUGCCACAAGCUAUUCCAUGCAAACACAACAGCAAUCACAGACGGACCAAGUAUUACUUGAUUCAGAACAACCUGGAAGAGAGAACAAUAAAAUGAUACUCUCAAUCAUCUGAUUCGUUAUAGUAUUAUACAGGCCAUGUUAUAACUUAUAACCAGCAGAAAACUGAGCUUCUCUAUAAUCUGAGUCACUAAUGUUAGCAUUCAUAUUCAUAGAUAUCAUGAGUACCUUCAGCACCAAAUUCUGUACUGUCUGCUUAGGUAAACAAUGCUCGAGAUACUGGUACCACGCAUAUGAACCAGGGCCAUACAGAAGAAACCCGUAAGAUGCCAUCCUUAGAGCGCGAAGCCAGUCAUGGUUACAAAGGAACAUCUGCAGUAAUCCAAAUUCAUGUUUCCAGUGAACGGCCAAACAUCAAUACUGCUAGUAUAUAGACAAAAAGCAUAUCAAGCCAAUACAAUAGCAAAAGCCAAAUCAGUAUAGAACAGAAUAGAGUGACACCGAUUCAAAACAGCUAACCACUAAAUGAAAGGAGCAACAAGAACCAACUGUACAGGAGUCUAGUGAUAGUGAAUUUAUGCACAUUGCCGUCAAAAUUGCAGGAAGGUAAAGACCCUAGAGAUGAUCGUUUUGGCAGAGCAUCAAGUUGACAAAUUCAUAUGUAAAAUUGAUCUCAAUCGCUCUCUAUAACAACAUCCCGAAUCAAUUACAAUAAAGCAGCCAACAAAUGUUGUAUCUGCCAGUUUCAAUGGAACUACACACAAGCAGCAGAUGAACUUACUGCCGCCUUAUCGGAUCCAAUAGAAGAGCUGAGCUCGUCUUGCGGUUUGGAGGCGGCUUUGUGCCUGCUCCAAUGCUCAGUAAGUUGAGCUAUAGUGUCGCCGGUGACAGCUAGGGUUCCCGCCGUGAGGGCUUGCUUCAGCGGGAACCGGAAACCGCCGGGCACGUUCACUGAAGUAUGUUGUGAUAUUGCGUGCGGGUGUUACCAGCUGGGCUCCCCGCGGUGGGGGCUUGCUUCAGCGGGAACCGGAAACCGCCGGGCACGUUCACUGAAGUAGGUGAAUUGGAGCCUCCACUCCGACAUGGUUUCCUUUUCUUGUUUCUGUUGUCCCAUCCCCAUCCCUUCAGCCCGCCAUUGCCAAGUCCCCAAAUAGCUUCCAUUUGACCGCCAAUGUUUCUGAGGCGCCAGCACGCCCAACACAAUAGUAUUAAAAUGAAGACUGCAAGUCCAAUGACCAAAAUGGGAAGUACGGUCAAAGUUGAGUGAAUCUCUUAGAACAAAAUAUCAAUAAUUUUUUAUUAAAAAUUAUUUUAUUUAUAUUUUCUCAUACUGGAUUAAGCAAUGAGCCACAGGAAAUGGGUCAGAAAUCCCACAGUAAAGGCUAUUCAAUUUCGUCCAAUUCAGCAACUCCACUGGGCUAGGCCCGGACAGCCACAGAUGCCCCCCAUUUAAAAUUUAAGGACAGCCUCGGUCAACAUAUCGCAAGAAAGUCAAAAUAUCAUAAAAUACGUUAAAUACCACCAUACGAUACGUAUCGCCAAUUUCUUGUGUUUCGAUUUUGGUUUGGAGACUCGAAACGUUUCGCGUUUCUGGGUUUUUUUGUCAUUUUUCAUUUUUCCGUGGUUUUUCAAUUAAACCGAGCAGUCCGCCGUGGCAUUUCGAGUUUGGUCCCGCAAAACCGAAACGUUUCGCCGGAUCAGCUACUAAAUUGUCAGUUCGUUCUUGUUUGGAAGUUUCUCUCUCUCAGAUGCUAUUGAGCCUGUCUUAAUGGUUGUUGAUAUGUCAGCGUAGCCAAGUAACAAUUAGAGCAAAGAACUGUUCGUGGUUUUAUGAAUCUGUCAUAUUACGCUGUCUCAAGACCUGGAUCACUUCUUGGUCAGGAUGCUUUGCCUUGCAGUUGUCACUCGUGAAUCUCCUUGUUUAAUGAGACUAGAUCGAACAUGGAUCAAAGUUGUUCGGUUUACGUAAUUCUGGCAUUGGAUGUCUUUUAACAAUUGAAGAGGUUUGGUUUUCGAGGUACUGUGUGCUUACUACAGAGGAGCCGUAGGUGCAUUACUUGUUUACGAUGUGACUCGGCACUCUACAUUUGAGAAUGCAGCAAGGUGGCUGAGGGAGUCGAGGGACCAUACGGAUCCCAACAUUGUGGUGAUGCUUGUUAGGAAUAUGAAGUUUCAACCAGAAGAGUUGACCAUAUGACCACCUAAUCAAACCAGUACUGAAAACGGCACCGUUGCACUAACGGAAUAAUGAACUUAACGGAACUGGACUUGACCGUUGGAAUUGGAGGGAGAAAUGAUGAACAUGAUCUGAUCUCCCCCCUGAUUAUUCUCAACCAACUCUUUUGAUAUUCCAUGAAUGCAGGAAGUGGAGUUGAUCACGGAACUCGAGCGGUAGCAGUAACAAACCUUGGAUAUAAGCAUAGGUUUGGAGUUCUGGAUGAUAUACACUCGAAACUAGUCUCACAAAUAUCAACUCAAUCCUAGCAUCUAGUUUCAUUCUUGUGAUUACCUUGGGAAGCCUUUCUCGACACUCAGAUUCGUGUGUUGAUCGGGAAAUUGCUUCAAGGGCAGUGGCUUCUCCAUGAUCACACUCUGUUACUUGUAUUAUUCAUAUUUAGUUACGGAUUAUUGCUACUCUAACUAUCAAUCUUGAAGCAAUUUAUUAUCAUAGGAACCUAUGACUACCCUGGCAAAAUCCGUACCUGAUCUGAGCAAACUGGAAGCUCUGGACGGCAGCAACUACAAAAGAUGGUCACUAAGACUCCUAAUCUUCCUAGAACAUCUGGAGAUAGACCAUGUGCUGUUUGAAGAUCCGCCUGUCAGAACAACUGGGGUUCCUGCUUCCUCAUCAGAAACGUCUGUGGACACCAAGGAAAAGGAGCCCUCUAUAACAUCCUUGAUGACUGAGACUCAGAAAUAUGAGAAAGACAACCGGACAGCUCGAGUUCACAUCCUCAGCCAUCUGAGCAAUCUCAUCUUCGACCUAGUGGCGCACAACAAAUCCGCAAGAUCCAUCUGGGAGACCCUGCUAAAGAAAUAUGGAGGAGAAAAUGCUGGAAGGAAGAGAUAUGUUGUGGGGACCUGUCUCAACUUCAAAAUGGUAGACAAUCUGCCUAUCAUGGAUCAGGUUCACAAAUUUGAAAGCCUCACUGCAGACGUCCUAGUUGAUGGAAUGAACAUCUGCAGCAUGUUCCAAGCCAAUUCACUCAUAGAGAAACUACUUGACUCGUGGACCAACUAUAAGCAUCAUCUCAAGCACAAGAAGAAGGACAUGACCGUAGAAGAACUCAUUGGUCACAUCAAGAUAGAGGAAGCAAACAGGAUCAAAGAUAAGUUGUCUCACAGAUCCUCACAUUCAGUCAAUGUUAACCUAAUUGAACCUGAUUACAGGUCCAAAGGAAGAAACCCUAGGAACCCUAACUGACAUCCUAGGAAGACAUCUGGAAAACCAGUGAACUUCAAGAGGCCAGGACAAACUCAGAAAUAUCAAAAGGGAGCCUGCUAUGUGUGUGAAAAGACUAAACACAAGGCUUACCAAUGCACUCAGAGGAGGGACCAACACCACAGAGGAGAAGGAGGACAAAAACCUCAGGUGAACAUUGCUGAAUCCUCUAAAGGAAAGGAAGUUCACAUCACCUUCUCUGCAGUGGUUUCUGAGGCAAACCUGGUGAAAAAUGACACGGAGUGGAUCAUUGACUCUGGUGCAUCAAGACACCUCUGUGGGAUAAGGGAAAUGUUCACUGAGUUUGAAGAAGCUGGACCAGGAGAUUAAGUUUUCAUGGAAAAUUCCAGCACUGCAGUUGUGAUUGGAAAAUGGAGAGUCAAGUUAAAACUCAGUUCUGGAAACCAUUUGGAUUUAUCUAACGUCCUGUUUAUUCCAACUCUUCGCAGAAACCUCAAAUCUGCAGGUCUCCUUAACAAAGCUGGUUUGAAGCUGGUGAUCGAAGCAAACAAGCUGGUCAUCACAAAGAACAAUCUGUUUGUUUGUCAUUUCUGCAAUUGCUAUGAAUGAAAAUGUUGCAUCUUCCUAAUUUGUUGAGUCCUUUAAUCACUGGCAUGGUAGAUUAGGCCACGUAGGCUAUAGCUCCCUAAGGAAGAUGAAAUUUCUGAACCUACUUCCUAAUCUUACCAUUCCUGAAACAUUGCCUAAAUGUCAAAUCUGUGUGAAAUCUAAACCAGUCAGUAAACCUUUCAACCUGGUAAAAACAAGGAAAACUGAACUGUUGGAAUUGAUUCACUCUGAUCUUGCUGAUUUCAGAAAUCAUGAGAGUAGAGGAGGAAAAAAAUACUACAUCACUUUCGUGGAUGACUUCUUUAGAUUUACAAAAGUCUAUUUACUGAAAUCAAAGGACGAAGCAGAAUUAAAAUUUUUGGUGUUUAAGUCUGAAGUAGAAAAUCAGUUGGACAAACGAAUCAAAAGGCUUAGAACAGAUAGAGGAGGAGAGUUUAGCACCUCUUUCCUCAAAGAAACGUAUGAAGCUCAUGGCAUCAUACAUGAGUUAACAGCUCCUUAUUACCCUCAGCAAAACGACAUUGCUGAAAGGAAAAACAGAACUUUAAAAAACAUGAUGAAUGCUAUGCUUCUGAGUUUUGGUCUCCCGAAUGAAAUGUGGGGGAAGCCAUUCUAUCAACAACUAAAAUUCUCAAUAGAGUGCCUCAUAAAACUCUGGCUGUAACUCCUUUUGAACUGUGGUAAGGGUUCCCUCCUAACCUCUCCUUCCUUAGAGUCUGGGGCUGUCUAGCCAAAGUGUCAAUUCCACGUUUUAAGAGAGACAACAUUGGCUCUAAAACGUUUGAUGUAAUUUUUGUUGGUUAUGCAGAACACAGUGCAGCUUACAGGUUCAUGAGAAUGAGUGACAGAAGCAUGUGUGAAUACAGGGAUGCUGAAUUCUUUGAAGAUGUAUUUCCCUGCAUGACUAACUCACAUCCAGAUCGAGAGGUCUCACCUACCAGGUAUCCCCUAACGCCUGAUCAUAUUAGAGAUGACAGCCUUACUUUAAGAAGAAGUAAGCGUACCAGGUAUGAAACCUCCUUUGGACCAGAUUUCAUAACGUCCUUUCUGUCUGAACAUGUUAGUCACAGUGAAUUUACAGACUCCACUAUAUUUGCGUACUUUAUAGAAGAUGACCCUAAAACUUUUGAAGAAGCUAUGAGUUCAGUAGACGCUCAUCUCUGGAAAGAAGCAUCUAACAGUGAACUGGAUUCAAUUAGGGCUAAUCACACUUGGGAUCUAGUAGAUCUUCCAAAAGGUUGUAGGUCAAUUGGAUGCAAAUGGAUAUUUAAGAGAAAACUUAGAACGGAUGGAUCGAUUGAGAGGUUCAAAGCUAGACUAGUCAUUAAAGGUUUUACUCAAAAGAAAGGCAUUGACUUCUUUGAUACCUAUUCUCCAGUAACCAAAAUCGCCACCAUUCGUACAAUGUUUGCUCUAGCAUCUAUCUUUAACAUGCAUGUGCAUCAAAUGGAUGUGAAAAUCACUUUUCUAAAUGGAGACUUGGAUGAGGAGAUCUGCAUGGAUCAACCUCCGGGUUGUGUAGAACCUGGUUUUGAGAACAAGGUCUGUAGACUAAGGAAGUCUCUAUACGGGCUGAAACAAGCUCCAAAACAGUGGUUUGAAAAAUUUCACAACACCAUUACUGGUUAUGGAUUUAGGGCUAAUAGUUCUGACACUUGCAUUUACUCUAAAAUGUUUGACAGUGCCUGUGUUUUCCUAUGUCUCUAUGUAGAUGACAUGAUGAUCUUUAGUACUCACAUGUCAGCCAUAGAAGAAACCAAGUUGUUCCUGUCUAGCAAAUUCGAGAUGAAGGACAUGGGAUCUGUUGACGUGAUAUUGGGAGUCAAGGUAGUUCAACAAGGAACAAAAUACAUCCUAAGCCAAUCUCACUACACAGAAAAACUGCUGAAGAAAUUCGACAGCUGGGAGGUUACACCAGUAAGAACACCUUAUGAUCCCAGUGUACACUUGGAAAAGAACAAGGGUACAGGCAUAGAACAAGAAGACUAUGCAAAAAUUAUUGAAAGCCUAAUGUUCCUAAUGAACUACACCAGACCAGACAUUGGAUAUGCAGUAAAUAGGUUGAGCAGGUACACUCACAACCCUGGGACUGAGCACUGGACAACCCUGAGACGACUACUAAGGUACUUGAGAGGCACAACGGAAUAGAGCCUACAUUAUGGAGGGUUUCCAGGUGUGCUGGAAGGAUACACAGAUGCCAACUGGGUAUCAGACAACGAACAAGUAAGCUCUACAAGUGGUUUUGUCUUCACACUUGGUGGAGCAGCCAUCUCCUGGAAAUCCUCCAAGCAGACUUGUAUUGCUCGAUCAACCAUGGAGUCAGAAUUUAUGGCUCUCGACCUGACUGGACAAGAAGCUGAAUGGUUGAGGUGUCUGCUGUCAGAUUUCCCUAUAUGGGAGAACCCUACUCCAACAAUCUCCCUUUUGUGUGAUUCUCAGGCUGCAAUCUGCAUAGCUCAAAACAAGACAUACAAUGGCAAAAAGAGACAUAUCAGAAUUAGACAUGAAACAGUAAGAAGCCUGUUAGAAACAGGCGUGUUCUCCUUACAAUUUGUAAGAUCAGAAUUCAAUCUAGCCGAUCCUUUGACCAAAGGUCUAUGCAGGAGGAUGAUAGCAGAAUCCUCCAAAGGCAUGGGACUGAUGUCACUCAAGGGGAUGGAAAAUCUGUGACCAGAACCCCCUUCUGCUGAUUUGUUCUUCAGAAGCAGGUCAAACAAAGGUCACAGAAAGAUCCAGGAGGAUGAGUCAAAGGAGACAGAUUGAGCAAGGCCAGUCAGCAGCAGUUGGAAGGUCGAAAGAACUCACUGCACUGAGUCAUUGAGGGACUCAAUGUUCAUAGCCUGGACACCAGGUGGUCUGCAGUGACCUGAUGAACCAGAACAUCUCAUAGUCUGUCAGUUCAGGUGGUUCCAUAUAGGAACUUGAUGAGAUCAAUCCACAAUGUGGGAAACUCAGUAGGCUGCAAGAUAGCCAGUUCAAUGAACUUGAUGAGACAAUCUUGCAGAGAAAGAAGUCUCAUAGGCUGCAAUCCAGCUGGUUCAAUGAACAUGAUGAGAAUGUCAGAUGAAAACCAGAAAAUGAAUUGGUGGAGAUGAUUCUCAACCAAGGUAAUGUUCAGUUUGAACAUCGCUAAUGGAAUGAUCAACCUUUCAAGGGUGCAUGUGCGACUGCUGAACCUGAGGAUAUGGGUUCAAGACCUCAGUCACCUAGCUCCUCAGUUCUUCACGACCACUACGUUCUAGUUCAAGUCAUUCAGACACUAGGACUUAAGUGCAGAAAUUCUUGAAUCUAGUUGAUAUGCAGCUGAAUCUUCAUAUUCGUGGGGGAUUGUUAGGAAUAUGAAGGUUCAACCAGAAGAGUUGACCAUAUGACCACCUAAUCAAACCAGUACUGGAAACGGCACUGUUGCACUAACAGAAUAAUGAACUUAACGGAACUGGACUUGACCGUUGGAAUUGGCGGGAGAAAUGAUGAACAUGAUCUGAUCUCCUCCCUGAUUAUUCUCAACCAACUCUUCUGAUAUUCCAUGAAUGCAGGAAGUGGAGUUGAUCACGAAACUCGAGCAGUAGCAGUAACAAACCUUGGAUAUAAGCAUAGGUUUGGAGUUCUGGAUGAUAUACACUCGAAACUAGUCUCACAAAUAUCAACUCAAUCCUAGCAUCUAGUUUCAUUCUUGUGAUUACCUUGGGAAGACUUUCUCGACACUCAGAUUAGUGUGUUGAUCGGGAAAUUGCUUCAAGGGCAGUGGCUUCUCCACGAUCACACUCUGUUACUUUUAUUGUUCAUAUUUAGUUACGGAUUAUUGCUACUCUAACUAUCAAUGCUCAUCGGCAAUAAAUCGGACCUCAGCCACCUGGUAGCUGUCCGAACAGAGGAAGCUAAAGCAUUUGCUGAAAGGGAAACACUCUACUUUAUGGAGACGUCAGCUCUAACUGCUACCAAUGUGAAGAGCGCCUUCACCCAAGUGCUUAGCCACAUUUACAAGAUCGUCAGCAAGCGUCCGUCACGGGAAGCAGUGAUGGAGCUACCCAUGUUCCUCUCAAGGGAGAGGCCAUCGAUGUUAAGCUGAAUGGUUCUUUGGGUACUACUCUUGUUAGUUCAUGAGUGGGUUUAGCUCAGUGAAUUGUGCUGCUAUAGAUAAAAUGCAUAUGAUCUCUUGAUGUGAGAUUGGGAUAGUUUGGAUCGACGUGUUCUUGUUUGUAUUGCAUGCUGCAAGUAGCUAAGAGUUUGACUGGGAUCGUACGGUCCAGUUUUUUUUCCAGACGCCUUGGGAAAUUAUUCAGACGCAGCAACAGCAGAUAUGGAAAGGGGCAAAGAAGAAUAAUGAAUCAAACAAUAUAAAAAGAAAGCACAUGAACCUCAAAAUCAUUAUGAUCUAAAGACAAAGAGCAUCAUCAAAUUAAUAAAGGAAAUGCUGCCAAAAAGGAACAGCAUAACAGAACGAAUCGAUCAGUCACUCCUGUAUAUUAGAACAUAGCAGCAGUUCAUUCAAAGGGAAAAGGGGAAAAAAAGAACUCAACAUCUGUACAUCAACCAUUUCCAUCUCUAACUAAUGCACACAACGUUCCCACAUGAACUGCUGGGGUUCCAUCCGUACGAAACAUCCAUCUAUUUUGAUUGGUUCUCCAUACCAACUUUAGUUGUCCAUAUGAUAUUGCAGCAGUCCAUCUAAGAAACCGUACUCAUGGGUAACACUUUCUGGGUAUGGAGUGGCCGCCUUUUCAGACAUUGUUUGCAUUAUCAUCUUAAGUUAUUCAACUCUUGACGAGUAUUCGAGUUUUUAUGGAACCAGUUCAGUUCGAUUGUGCUGUAGGUUUUGCAGACACUACGUCGUUCUCACCCAAGUCCCCUACCUUGCUUUCCAGUUCCGUUGAUUCCUUCAUUGAUUCGAUAUCCAUGCUUGCUGUUCGACUCUUCCGGUUUCUCCGGUCCUGAAGAAUACAGCACAGGUAAACAAUCACGUAUAUGACAAGCAUUCAAGUUGAUAAAACAUGUUGCAGCAAUGGCUGCAGCAGGAGAUCAAGGUUCAGUACAUACCUCACGGAAUGGGUACUCUUCAGCUUCAAGCAUCCGCACAACCUGACUCAUUUUUGGUCUCUUUUCUGAAUCAGGAUCCACACAGCGAAGUGCAAUCAAAAGAGCCCGUUUUAGAGCACGAGUAGCAGGUCUAACUUCAAGAUUUGGGUCCACAACUUCCUCAGCUCUCUUGGUCCCAACCAUCAUCUUAAGCCACUCCACAAGGUUGACCUGUUUCAACGACAAGACAAUCUCAUUUACACCAAGAACGGCUUACUUUGGUUUGCAAGAGUACUAACAAAAAAAGGGUUAUUUGGUGAGAGCAGGAUACCUCAUUAGCAGGUCUUCCAUAAUCCACGGGAUCUCUUCCUGUGACUGCUUCUACCAGAAGAACACCAAAGCUAUAAAUGUCACUCUUCUCAUUCAACAAGCCAGUAUUGGCAUACUCUGGUGCUACAUAUCUGAAUUAAACAAGUAGUCAAGGGCAGGUUAAUUCUAUAUUGUUGUUUUUUUAGGGUAGAAGUUCUAUAUUGUUGUUUGCGAGCAAGAGAAACAAAAAAGAGAGAAAAUAUAGCAUUACCCAAAUGUACCCAUAACUCUUGUCGUGAUGUGACUCUCUCCUGAAUCCAAAAGCUUUGCCAAUCCGAAAUCAGACACCUUGGAAUUAAACUCAUCAUCAAUCAAGAUAUUGCUCGACUUUAUGUCACGGUGAACAACUUUUGGCUCUAUGGCUUCAUGCAAAUAAGCAAGCCUGCAAUGCAAGUCCUUUUCAUCAAAAUGAUUAAGAGCUACCAAUGGUAAAUUCUAACAUGAAUGAAUAUUCUGAUUCACAUAAGAUCCCCACAGUUGGAGGAAAGCAAUAGUACCACAUCCAAUGAUUAUGUUGGAAACAUGGUUAAAAUUUAGAGAAGCUAACUUACGCCUUAGCAGUCCCAAGGAGAACUUUCAUACGAGCCUCCCAAGUGAGGAUACCACGAUGACGCAUCGCCCCAUGAAGCCACUGUUCUAAGUUGCCAUUGUUCACAUAUUCGUACACAAGCAUCCUGAUUUUGCAGAGAAAUUGUUAGAACCCACAGAAAUUCUAAAUACCAAAAUGCUAACACAUAUACUCAUCUCCAGAAAGUGUGCUACGAAGCAAAGGAUGAAACAGGAUACCUAUGAACCCCUUCCAUACAAUAUCCAAGAAGCCGGACAAGAUUUUUAUGCCGAACAUGACCAAUGGCCUCCACUUCAACUCUGAAUUCCUUCUCCGCCUGUCCCCUAAAACAGUGGCAUGCAUUGCAAAGAAGUUUUAAGUGUACAUUAUUGAAUAUAAUACGCCAUCAGCAAAGAGACACACGGUUUGUUUUAAGCCCUGCUUACAGAUUGUUAAGGAUUUUCUUCACAGCUACCUCAGUUCCAUUAACGAGUCUUCCGUUGUAAACAACCCCAUAUCCACCCUCACCGAUCACGUUCUCUGUGGCAAAACGAUUCGUUGCAAACUCAAGAUCCCUAAGAGUAAACCAAUGACCCCAACCCAGAUGAGAAAAUUCUGGUAACCCAAUCAGUGGGGAUGCUGUCACAAGUCCUGGAUAUGAGGAUUGCUUCCUUGCUGUUCCGGAGCUUCCUUCUUCCCCAGAAUGAGAGCUAAAUCCUUUCUCAUGAUGAUAAACUGAGCUACAUUGGCUGAUGUUAUCAUGAUCACUUGACUUGCUCAUUCCCAGAUGACUAAGCAUCUUCUCUGAAUUCUUCUCGCUUGAUUUAUCAUUGAUAGAUAAGAAUAAACUUUCUGGUUUGUCAUUGUAGGUCUGAGCCCCAACCCUGUCAACCCUAAUAUCUUUUGAAACAUUUGGUAUCUGUGUAAAGGAUCCAACUGAUCUUCUAGAUCUCCUACGAAAAGACCAUACUGAUAGGAUGCAAAGAAUCAAAACUAUGAAGGCAGCUACUAAUAUCCCAAUCAGGACAUAUAGUUUCAAACCCAAAAAUGAUUUCUUGGUUAACUCGGCGUUCAAGCUCUCGGACGACAUUGUACUUCUGUGCUGAAGUCCCCUCCUUUCAGGCAGCACAACGACUAGUACAUUGUCCACCUGAAGACCAUAAAUAUUAACCAUACAUUUUGCCAAAAAGGUUUCCAAUUUCACAAAGGAUAACUUAAACAUGAACAUGAAAGGAAAUAUAUAGUCCAACACCAGCUUAAAAGUAGAAUAUGAUUACUAAAUUCAAACCUAGAUUCAGAAAGUAAUAGUCGUCACUGCAUUACCAUUCACAGCUCAAUACAGUGCACCUAAGUUCUUCAUAGAGCAGCAUUAAUCAUCCAUCAAAACCAGAAACUCAAUACUCAAGGAACUGUGAUCCAGAAAUAAAAACCAAGAAGGCAAGAAAAGCAGCAGAACAAGCCACAUCUCAAAAUAAGUAAACAAAAGAAAUAACAGCUCAAAAGAAGCAUCACUUAAGAUCCAAGUAAAGGGCAGAUAAAGAAAUGUGAAUCACUCCGAACCAACAAAAAAAGGAAAGCGAUUGGAAAUCCAAAACAAAGGAAAGUUGAAAAAUAAGAAGAUAGACAUGAAAGAGUUUACCUUGGUGAAGAAAUCUCAAAGAUGGAAGGUAAGUUAGCCUCCUUGAUCUUCUUCCUUGAGGAGCCAGAGGAGGAAAGAAAAAGAAAAGGCUUCUCCUUUAUGAAGCAACUGAGGCUCAAUAAGCAUAGAUUUGGCCAAUGUAGACCCUUAAAACCAACACAAACCCCCAGAAAUCCUUUUUUUCUUUUCUAAAUAGAAUCCCACCACCACCACAGUCUGAGAGAGAGAGAGAGAGAGAGAGAGAGAGAGAGAGAGAGAGAGAGAGAGAGAGAGAGAGAGAGAGAGAGAGAGAGAGAGAGAGAGAGAGAGAGAGAGAGAGAGAGAGAGAGAGAGAGAGAGAGAGAGAGAGAGAGAGAGAGAGAGAGAGAGAGAGAGAGAGAGAGAGAGAGAGAGAGAGAGAGAGAGAGAGAGAGAGAGAGAGAGAGAGAGAGAGAGAGAGAGAGAGAGAGAGAGAGAGAGAGAGAGAGAGAGAGAGAGAGAGAGAGAGAGAGAGAGAGAGAGAGAGAGAGAGAGAGAGAGAGAGAGAGAGAGAGAGAGAGAGAGAGAGAGAGAGAGAGAGAGAGAGAGAGAGAGAGAGAGAGAGAGAGAGAGAGAGAGAGAGAGAGAGAGAGAGAGAGAGAGAGAGAGAGAGAGAGAGAGAGAGAGAGAGAGAGAGAGAGAGAGAGAGAGAGAGAGAGAGAGAGAGAGAGAAGAGUCGUUUGGAAGGCAGCCAAAAAUGUGGGCCAAAAGGACGCAGAAAAGGUGGGGGAGGAAAUGGCACAGAGAUGGGAAAAACUGACAAGCAAACAGGAAUACCCCCAAUCUAACAGAAGCCGAGAAAAAAUGGUGUACAAGGGAAGAGAAGGCAGCUGCUACUACAUAAUAGAUAUGGCCAAAUAGAGUUCAGAAGUAGCAAAAAAAAAAGGGAAAGGGAAGCAGGAACGAGGGUGAAGGUUAGUUGGUGAGUUAUGUGGAAGAGAAAGAGAGAUGUAGCUCUCAGAAAAAGCUGGAAAGAGAAGGAAGCUUGGUUUGCAAUGGAGGAAACCAUAGAAAGAGAAAGAGAGAGUAAGGGCAAGCAGAAAAAUGAAAAGAGGAAGGAAGAGGGUUUGCAUUUAAUUAAUUAACUCGUAGAAAAGAAAAGAGGAACGUAGUCAAAACCCCAGCUGGAGAGAACUCCAAAUCUAGCAAGUUUCCAUAGCCCUCCAUGAGUCCAUGACUAUAUGACAACCAUGCGGCAUGAGAUACUUUGAGUUUUACUUUCCUUUUCUCCUUUUCUUUCUCUUCUGGUUUCUGACGAAAAAAAAUGAGAAGAUGAGGAUGUCAUGCCGUCAUGGGAUGUUGAGAAAAUCUCGGAGCAAAGAAGAGCGGAAGCCUAGAUAUUUUUGUUGACAUAACCUCCAGUGUGAGGCAUGAAUUUUGUUAAUUUGGUGACACAUUCGUAUAACAACAUGCCUAGUUUGCUACGAGAAUGGAGUAUGGGGGUAGC